AUGGACAAAACCUUGGCGAUGUAAGGGAUCAGCGGCAGGUUCAGGAUCAGCAGCACAAGGUUGCCGAUAUACAUCGAAAUGAUCACCGCCCAGAAAAUCUGCGGCUCGUCGAUCAUCAGGCGCGGGCC
rfam:Actibacterium atlanticum strain 22II-S11-z10 contig6, whole genome shotgun sequence.